AUGGGAAAUGCAAGUUGCAGAAUAUUCCUGAGGUUGUUGAUAGGGCGGAUUGGGUUUCGGAUAGAGGGAGGUUUGCAGUCGCCGUUUUGCAAGGAAUUGAAGGGUGGCGCUGUUUCAGGUGGUGUUCUUCCCUUUUGUUCUAAACUUGGACGUCUUUUAUUAGAAAUUUCCCACAGGAUUUGCGUUUCCAUUUUUGUGAAAGUUCAGACUUUUUGGACAGGUUUUUGGCAAGUUGUGGGCAGCAUUGCAGUAGCAUGUUUUUGGGACUGA